UACGGGGGUGGCGAGCGUUACUCGGAUUUAUUGGGUGUAAAGGGCAGGUAGGCGGCUAUGCAAGUUGGGGGUGAAAUCCUUUGGCUCAACCAAAGAACUGCCCUCAAAACUGCAUAGCUUGAGGACAAGAGAGGAAAGCGGAAUUCCCGGUGUAAGGGUGAAAUCUGUAGAUAUCGGGAGGAACACCCGUGGCGAAAGCGGCUUUCUGGCUUGUCCCUGACGCUCAGCUGCGAAAGCUAGGGGAG
rnacentral:rRNA from 1 species